CACCGUCAAAGGGAAAGUCGCUGAUGAGUCUGGACGGUUCGUAGCUGGUGGAAAUACCCAGGAAGGACAGCAGCUUGUUCCUGAACUCGCCCAGAUCUCCCUCCUCCUUCCCCGCAGCCACAGCAGGAACUCCUGCAGCACAGAGACCGGGCAUUGGGUUUAAAAAGAGAGUCAACACUGGACGAUUCAUCGGCAAACGGUACCUUCAGGCAGGGAGUUGAGGUACUGCUUCAUGAGGCCCUGCACCCUCUCCAGGUAGAGCUGGAUCAGCACGUUGUGAAACUCAGGGCCCUUGUCGUCCCACACGUACACGAUGUGCUCCAGGUACGGGAUGGCCAGCUCCUUGAACCCCUCCUUCAGGAAGUUCAGCACCUUGUCUCGGGGCAACGUCUCCACCUCGGUCAGGUCCUCCGUGAAGAUCUGGAGAUUGGUUUAAGUGAGGAGCAGAGAGGUUUCUUUAAGUUUGGCGAACACCUGCAUGGAGUCAUCGAACCUCUUCUGGCAGAACAGAUUGAAGGCGUAGAGAUUCUGGAUGUGAUGGAUCUGCUGCUUCUUAUCCCCGUCAGAAUCGUCCUUCAUCUUCAGGCAGAAAGCAAACACACAUGAAGGAAAGCCAAACAAUUCUUCACGCUAAAGGAAAAUGACUUAUUUGAAUUCUAGCGUUCUGACGUGCUGUAGUUUAAGGAUCAAAUCGUAUAUACUUAUCUUUGAUAUUUUACUCAAAAUCAUUGUGUAGCGGGAGGUCACACAAGUUAUAAUAUUGCGUUAUUAUUUUUAUCAUUAUUAGGUUUUUAAUUUAAUAUUAUCAAUAUAUUUUUUCUGUAUUUAUUUUUAAUUUAUUUAUAUCAUUAUUUCCAAGUAGCUCAGCCCACAUAAGGAAUUGUCCUUGAUUUAUAGAUAAACACACUUAGACAAAUAAAUAUGUA